rnacentral:snRNA from 1 species
UGCGCCUAUAAAGGCAUUU